rnacentral:lncRNA from 1 species
GAGGAAUUUGUAUAGAAUUUUGAUAUGGGAAAUGAAAUCUUGGCCUCACCACAGGAUACCACACAAUACAAACAAACACUAAACUAUCACUGAUAAGUUCCUCCCAUACAGAGAAAAACAGAGAGAAACAGAGAAUUUCAUGGUGGAGAUGGAGGGCAUAGAGCACAGAACAGUCCAAGUCAAUGGUAUAAACAUGCACAUAGCCGAGAAAGGCCAGGGCCCACUCAUCCUCUUCGUCCACGGCUUCCCCGAGCUCUGGUACUCCUGGCGCCACCAGAUCACAGCCCUCGCCUCCCUCGGCUACAGAGCCGUCGCGCCGGACCUCCGAGGCUUCGGCGACACCGACGCCCCCGAUUCCCCCACGAGCUACACCUGUCUCCACGUGGUCGGAGACCUCAUCGCCCUCCUGGACGCCAUAGCCCCCGACCAGGACAAGGUGUUCGUGGUGGGCCACGACUGGGGCGCUUACUUAGCUUGGUUCCUCUGCCUGUUCCGGCCCGACCGGGUCAAAGCCUUGGUCAACCUGAGCGUAGCUUUCAUGCCUAGAAACCCUCAGAGGAAGUUCAUUGAAUCUGUGAAAGCUGUUUAUGGGGAUGACUAUUACAUGUGCAGAUUUCAGGUUCAAUCUCAUAUGUCCCCUGUUUUUUUGUUUUUAUUUUUAAUAAAAUUUCUGACUUGUUUGUUUGGAAAUUUUGUGGUCCACUAGUUUUCAAUCUGUUUUUUUGUUUUUGAAUACAAGCGAUAUUAAUCUAAACUACCCGAUGGAGAUUUGAAAUUUUUUUUUGGGUUUUAUUUUUUUUUUUUUUUUUAUGAAACAUUUUAUUUUUUGUUUAAGUUUAAUGGUUACAACAUUUUCUAUUGCUGGACUCACUUUCGAGGUGAUUAGUUUAAAGGAGAUAAUGGUUUUAGAUAACCUUGAUUAGUUGAAAACGACCAUGUAUCUAAUGAGUCCAAAUUUCAUUGCCGUGUGGCCCUUAUCUUAAGUCUUAUUUUAAUCGUGAUUAAUUGUUAAUUAAAGUUUCGGCUUGUUCAAGGCAAGUAGUUUAAUAGCAGAUUAUGUGUGAACACCUUUUGAUUGCCUCGUUCCUCACACCAACUCUUCCUCGCCAAGGAAAUGAAGUUCAUAUAGUUUUUCAGCUGAUGCGAAUUUGUCUUUUGGGGGUUUGAAUUUCAUGGAAAUGUUCUCAUGUUAGAUUGCUGUGAGGGGUUACGGUACAUAUACUCAGUAUGAACAUUUUGAAAUACACCACUUGUUGGGUCAUUAUGACCCGUUGAGUGAUUCCCAACGAGUGGUAUUUCGAGGAUUUUGUACUAGUGAGUAUGCGAAUGUAACGUAAAAAAUUGUGUUGCUAUAUUGUGACUAAGGCACAUUGAUUAAAUUAGUGUGAAAUGUUGUAAACGUUUAGAAGCAACAUAUAUGGUUGCAUAAAUUUCAGUUCUGGGUUGUGAUAGAUAAACUAGUCAUGUUACAGGAGCCAGGAGUGAUGGAAGCUGAGUUUGCCAAACUUGGUACUGCAAGAGUUAUGAAGGAAUUUCUAACAUAUCGCAAUCCUGGUCCACUUUUCCUGCCUAAAGAUAAAAUGUUUGGACAUGCCCCAGAUGCUCCAAUCGUGUUGCCGAGUUGGUUGUCUGAGGAUGAAGUCAACUACUAUGCCAGCAAAUUUGAGAAGACAGGAUUCACUGGGGCCUUAAACUACUACAGAAACUUGGACCUGUAUGUAAUUUCCUUUAAACUUAGUUUACUUGAAUUUCAUACGCACAAACUAAUUCUAGCAAGAAAGAGCUUUUCUUGUUUGUCGAAUAUAUAUUCUGAAGGUUUGCUUUGAAUGCAGAAGUUGGGAGCUCACUGCAGCAUGGACCGAGGUUCAAGUGAAAGUUCCAGUUAAGUUCAUUGUGGGAGACCAGGACCUAGUUCAUAAUUCUCUUCACGCAAAGGACUUCAUACACAAAGGUGGGUUCAAGAAAUAUGUGCCACUUCUCGAAGAGGUAGUUGUAAUGGAAGGAGUCGCCCAUUUUAUCAACCAAGAAAAGCCUGAUGAAAUCAGCAAACACAUUCAUGACUUCAUCGUUAAAUUUCACUAAUUAGCUGUCUAUAUAUAUAUAUAUAUGUAUAUGUAUGUUGUAUGCUGCUGCUGUUUCAAACUCUCUGUUGUGCAUUCAUUAAUAAAGUGUUCUGUAUUUUGAGAUGGGAAUUCGUAUCCUGGAGAUUGCAGCAGCAGCCUCACAACUUCAUGUGUUGUAUCCUGUAUUUCGGAUUUGUGCUGGUAUUUCAUUUUCAACAUCUUUGGUGGAUUUUGGCCUAAUUUUGAACUACAUUAUUUUAAUUUGCUUUUAUUUGGCAUAUUUGAAAACUUCCUAAAUCGUAUUAUAACG